rnacentral:tRNA from 1 species
GCUGCCGUAGCUCAAUUGGUAGAGCACACCCUUGGUAAGGGUGAGGUAAUGAGUUCAAACCUCAUCGGCAGCU